rnacentral:rRNA from 1 species
CCUACGGGAUGCAGCAGUAAGGAAUAUUGGUCAAUGGACGGAAGUCUGAACCAGCCAUGCCGCGUGGAGGAUGACGGCCCUCUGGGUUGUAAACUUCUUUUAUAUGGGACGAAAAAAGGGAAUUCUUUCUCGUCUGACGGUACUAUAUGAAUAAGCACCGGCUAACUCCGUGCCAGCAGCCGCGGUAAUACGGAGGGUGCAAGCGUUAUCCGGAUUUACUGGGUUUAAAGGGAGCGCAGGCGGAUAAUUAAGUCAGUGGUGAAAUAGUCGAGCUUAACUCGAAAACUGCCAUUGAUACUAUUUAUCUUGAAUGUCGAUGAGGUUUGCGGAAUGGGUCAUGUAGCGGUGAAAUGCUUAGAUAUGACCCGGAACCCCAAUUGCGAAGGCAGCAAACUGGCCGAUUAUUGACGCUGAGGCUCGAAAGCGUGGGGAUCAAACAGGAUUAGAUACCCGCGUAGUC